rnacentral:misc_RNA from 1 species
UCCCUGUUACCAGGGCAGUCUGUUUAGAAAAAUCCAACUAAACAUAAGGGUUGCGCUCGUUGCGGGACUUAACCCAACAUCUCACGACACGAGCUGACGACGGCCAUGCAUCACCUGUCACUCAGUUCCCGAGGGCACAGUUUCCUUUCGGAAGCCUUCUGAGGAUGUCAAACCUUGGUAAGGUUCUUCGCUUAUCAUCGAAUUAAACCACACGCUCCACCGCUUGUGCGGGUCCCCGUCAAUUCCUUUGAGUUUUAAGCUUGCGCUCGUACUACUCAGGCGGGAUGCUUAACGCGUUAGCUUCGCUUCUGACGGGGUCGAUACCGCCAAAUAGCUAGCAUCCAUCGUUUACGGCAUGGACUAC